rnacentral:rRNA from 1 species
CCUACGGGUGGCAGCAGUGGGGAAUAUUGGACAAUGGGCGAAAGCCUGAUCCAGCCAUGCCGCGUGUGUGAAGAAGGCCUUCGGGUUGUAAAGCACUUUCAGUGGGGAAGAAAGCCUUGGGGCUAAUACCCUCGAGGAAGGACAUCACCCACAGAAGAAGCACCGGCUAACUCCGUGCCAGCAGCCGCGGUAAUACGGAGGGUGCGAGCGUUAAUCGGAAUUACUGGGCGUAAAGCGCGCGUAGGCGGUCUGAUAAGCCGGUUGUGAAAGCCCCGGGCUCAACCUGGGAACGGCAUCCGGAACUGUUAGGCUAGAGUGCAGGAGAGGAAGGUAGAAUUCCCGGUGUAGCGGUGAAAUGCGUAGAGAUCGGGAGGAAUACCAGUGGCGAAGGCGGCCUUCUGGACUGACACUGACGCUGAGGUGCGAAAGCGUGGGUAGCAAACAGGAUUAGAUACCCCUGUAGUC